CAGUAGCCGCGGGAAUACGGAGGGUGCAAGCGUUAAUCGGAAUUACUGGGCGUAAAGCGCACGCAGGCGGUCUGACAAGUCAGAUGUGAAAUCCCCGGGCUUAACCUGGGAACUGCAUUUGAAACUGUCAGGCUGGAGUCUUGUAGAGGGGGGUGGAAUUCCAGGUGUAGCGGUGAAAUGCGUAGAGAUCUGGAGGAAUACCGGUGGCGAAGGCGGCCCCCUGGACAAAGACUGACGCUCAGGUGCGAAAGCGUGGGGAGCAAACAGGAUUAGAUACCCGUGUAGUCCCUGUCUCUUAUAU
rnacentral:rRNA from 1 species